rnacentral:tRNA from 1 species
GCCGCAGUAGCUCAGCUGGAUAGAGCGCCAGUAGCCUUUUUUUAACCUAAAAAGGACUGCACGAAACUCAUAAGCGCAAAAGCAAACUCAAGGUUUUUGCUCUAAGCCAUCUGGAGGCCGGGUGUUCAAGUCUCCCCUGCGGCA